rnacentral:rRNA from 1 species
GACGAACGCUGGCGGCGUGCUUAACACAUGCAAGUCGAACGCUGAAGCACCAGCUUGCUGGUGUGGAUGAGUGGCGAACGGAUGAGUAAUACGUGAGUAACCUGCCCUUGACUCUGGGAUAAGCCCGGGAAACUGGGUCUAAUACUGGAUGCUACAUGUCACCGCAUGGUGGUGUGUGGAAAGGGUUUACUGGUCUUGGAUGGGCUCACGGCCUAUCAGCUUGUUGGUGAGGUAAUGGCUCACCAAGGCGACGACGGGUAGCCGGCCUGAGAGGGUGACCGGCCACACUGGGACUGAGACACGGCCCAGACUCCUACGGGAGGCAGCAGUGGGGAAUAUUGCACAAUGGGCGAAAGCCUGAUGCAGCGACGCCGCGUGAGGGAUGACGGCCUUCGGGUUGUAAACCUCUUUCAGCAGGGAAGAAGCCACAAGUGACGGUACCUGCAGAAGAAGCGCCGGCUAACUACGUG